rnacentral:rRNA from 1 species
UACGUAGGGGGCUAGCGUUGUCCGGAAUCAUUGGGCGUAAAGCGCGUGUAGGCGGUCCGGUAAGUCCGCUGUGAAAGUCGGGGGCUCAACCCUCGGAUGCCGGUGGAUACUGUCGGGCUCGAGUACGGAAGAGGCGAGUGGAAUUCCUGGUGUAGCGGUGAAAUGCGCAGGAUAUCAGGAGGAACACCAAUUGCGAAGGCAGCUCGCUGGGACGUUACUGACGCUGAGACGCGAAAGCGUGGGGAGCAAACAGG